UACGAAGGGGGCUAGCGUUGCUCGGAAUCACUGGGCGUAAAGGGUGCGCAGGCGGGUCUUUAAGUCAGGGGGGAAAUCCUGGAGCUCAACUCCAGAACUGCCUUUGAUACUGAAGAUCUUGAGUUCGGGAGAGGUGAGUGGAACUGCGAGUGUAGAGGUGAAAUUCGUAGAUAUUCGCAAGAACACCAGUGGCGAAGGCGGCUCACUGGCCCGAUACUGACGCUGAUGCACGAAAGCGUGGGGAGCAAACAGG
rnacentral:rRNA from 1 species